rnacentral:rRNA from 1 species
UCAAAGCAUUAAGCCAUGGCAUGUCUAAGUAUAAGCAAUUAUACCGUGNAAACUGCGAAUGGCUCAUUAAAUCAGUUAUCGUUUAUUUGAUAGUACCUUACUACUUGGUAUNACCGUGGCUAAUUCUAGAGCUAAUACAUGCUGUAAAACCGCAACUUCNGNAAGCGGUGUAUUUAUUAGAUAAAAAACCAACGCCCUUCGGGGCUUCUUGGUGAUUCAUGAUAACUUUACGGCAUCGCAUGGCCUUGCNCCGGCGACGGUUCAUUCAAAUUUCUGCCCUAUCAACUUUCNAUGGGAAGGUAUUGGCUUACCNUGGUUUCAACGGGUAACGGGGUAAUUAGGGUUUCGAUUCCGGAGAGGGAGCCNGANAAACGGCUACCACAUCCAAGGAAGGNAGCANGCGCGCAAAUUACCCAAUCCCGACACGGGGGAGGGUAGUGNCAAUANAAUACUGAUNCCGCGGCCUCCUUUUGGGUCCUUGUAAAUUGNGAAUGNANUNCAAUUUAAAACCUCUUNAACGNGGCAACAAAUUGGUANGGCAAACNCCUGGNNGCCCCUCA